GACGAACCGUGCGAACGUUGUUCGGAAUCACUGGGCUUAAAGGGCGCGUAGGCGGGCUGCCAAGUCUGGGGUGAAAUCCCACGGCUCAACCGUGGAACUGCCUCGGAUACUGGCGACCUCGAGUGGGGUAGGGGCUUGCGGAACUGUGCGUGGAGCGGUGAAAUGCGUUGAUAUGCACAGGAACUCCGGUGGCGAAGGCGGCGAGCUGGACCCUAACUGACGCUGAGGCACGAAAGCCAGGGGAGCGAACGGG
rnacentral:rRNA from 1 species